CCUACGGGCGGCUGCAGUGAGGAAUAUUGGUCAAUGGCCGCAGGGCUGAACCAGCCAAGUCGCGUGAGGGAUGGCGGUCCUAUGGAUUGUAAACCUCUUUUGUCAGGGAGCAAAGGGCGCCACGUGUGGCGCUUUGCGAGUACCUGAAGAAAAAGCAUCGGCUAACUCCGUGCCAGCAGCCGCGGUAAUACGGAGGAUGCGAGCGUUAUCCGGAUUUAUUGGGUUUAAAGGGUGCGGAGGCGGAAUGUCAAGUCAGCGGUAAAAUUUCGGGGCUCAACCCCGUCGUGCCGUUGAAACUGGCGUUCUUGAGUGAGCGAGAAGUAUGCGGAAUGCGUGGUGUAGCGGUGAAAUGCAUAGAUAUCACGCAGAACUCCGAUUGCGAAGGCAGCAUACCGGCGCUCAACUGACGCUCAUGCACGAAAGCGUGGGUAUCGAACAGGAUUAGAUACCCCAGUAGUC
rnacentral:rRNA from 1 species